GACGAACGCUGGCGGCGUGCUUAACACAUGCAAGUCGAGCGGAAAGGCCCUUCGGGGUACUCGAGCGGCGAACGGGUGAGUAACACGUGAGUAAUCUGCCCUUCACUCUGGGAUAGCCACCGGAAACGGUGAUUAAUACCGGAUACGACCACCGUGGGCAUCCGCUGGUGGUGGAAACUUUUUUGGGUGGGGGAUGUGCUCGCGGCCUAUCAGCUUGUUGGUGGGGUAAUGGCCUACCAAGGCUUCGACGGGUAGCCGGCCUGAGAGGGUGACCGGCCACACUGGGACUGAGACACGGCCCAGACUCCUACGGGAGGCAGCAGUGGGGAAUAUUGGACAAUGGGCGGAAGCCUGAUCCAGCAACGCCGCGUGAGGGAUGACGGCCUUCGGGUUGUAAACCUCUUUUAGCAGGGAAGAAGCGAAAGUGACGGUACCUGCAGAAAAAGCACCGGCUAACUACGUGCCAGCCGCCGCAGUAAGAC
rnacentral:rRNA from 1 species